AAAGCAUAAUGAGGGCAUUUCCUUAACUUCUCCUUAAAUCUCUCCCAACUUUCAUAAAUUUACUCUCCUUCAAACUAGGAAAAGGAUGUGAUAUCAUUCCUAAGCU